GAGAGGAGAGGAGAGGAGAGGAGAGGAGAGGAGAGGAGAGGAGAGGAGAGGAGAGGAGAGGAGAGGAGAGGAGAGGAGAGGAGAGGAGAGGAGAGGAGAAAUACAGGGGCAGGGGGUGUGUGCCAAACUCCUUCUUUGCUGAGUAGAAAGCUUCUGAAUUUCAAGCAGAAAGUGGAAGGAGCUCCACAGAGCAAUAUCUUGGGCUGCGUGUGCAGAGCGUAGACAAUGAAAAUCUCCGCCCCCUCCCCCAUGCUCUCAAGUCUUCAAGAUUUUUUUCUUUCCUUCACAACGAUGGAAGCUAUGUAAAAAUCAAAUACACAGAGAUGUAUAUACUUUUUUUUUUUUAAAGCACAGACUAACAAACCGAAGGACCUGACCAUGGAUUAUUCAAGGACUCACCUGCUGGGGAGCGCUCUGGGGUCUCCGCACAAAACCUGCUUUUGAGCCCUUUGGCUUUCUUCAGGCGAGCGCAGUCCGUCCAUCCCCCUGGCCCACCCAGCCGCAAGGGAUGCUGUGAAAAGAGCCGCUGCUUGCCGCCUCCGGCCUGCCGUCCAGAGGGCUCCGCCCGUAGAGGUCAACUCCCCUCAUUCUUCUUCUUUCCAUCUUGCCCUCCCUCCGCCGAGCCCAGACUCGGAUCUCCUCCUGACUCCCGCCGCAGUCAGAGAGAGCGCAUCUGCUGCGCUGCCCUUAAAUCUACGCCCAGAGCGGGCUCAGACCCGAUCUCUGCUCUCCAGAGCCGGAGGAAGCCCGAGCAAGCAGCCUUUUCUCUUCGCAGUAAAAUCAUAGCCAGACCAGAUGGGCCCCAGCUCUCCCGGGACUCGGCAGGCUUAUAUGGAGUAAAAUAAUGUAGAAUGCUGCAUCACCUCAGCGCCGUGAAUUUAGAAGUUCCAGCAUGUUGUGAAGCAGACACAUCUUUGCUAUGAACACUGUGACUCACUACAUCAGUGCUGGUAUAAUAAAAUGCUUCUAAUGAUGUAGCUGUUAAAUUUUCUAAAAUAAAGAUCAGUUUAUUUUGUGAUGGCACAAUGAAAGAGGUGUUUAAUUUUUUACUAGAUUUUAAAAUAAAGCUUAUAAAAAUAUUAAGUUAAAAUUAAAAAAUAUGAUUUUAUAAUUUGUUUUGUGUGUGUGAGGGGGGGCUAACUCUUGAUUACAUGUUAAAUCAACUUAAAUAUUUAACCAAGCUUGUCAAGUUCCAUAUAAGAUCAGUAUGUUUGUCUUCUGAACCCUGGUUUUGCACAGCAAGCAUUAGCAAUUCUUAAGAAAUUAAAUGAAGAAAAGAAUACUGUUAUGAUUCCUAAUAAUAACUGUUAUGUUAUGUUAUGUUAUGUUAUGUUAUGUUAUGUUAUUUUUAUAAACAUUCCUUUGGAAAUGUGAAAUAUUUAUCUUACAUAAUUUAAAUUUCUUCUUAAAUAAAUUCAUAUCUAUCUCAGGAAAUUAAAAACAGUAGCAUAAUUUUUAAUAGUCAUUACAAAUAUGAAGACAGGUUCUAAUAAAUAAAAUGUGUAAUACAAAUAAAAA
rnacentral:lncRNA from 1 species